AUGAACGCUGACAGAAUGCUUAACACAUGCAAGUCUAUGAGAAGAUCUACUUCGGUAGAAGGUUAUCAUGGCGGACGGGUGAGUAACGCGUAAAGAACUUGCCUCUUAGACUGGGAUAACAGAUGGAAACGUCUGAUAAGACUAGAUAUAAUAGCGACAUGGCAUCAUGUUGUUAUGAAAGGUAACACUAAGAGAGAGCUUUGCGUCCUAUUAGUUAGUUGGUGAGGUAAUGGCUCACCAAGACGAUGAUAGGUAGCCGGCCUGAGAGGGUGGACGGCCACACUGGGACUGAGACACGGCCCAGACUCCUACGGGAGGCAGCAGUGGGGAAUAUUGCGCAAUGGGGGAAACCCUGACGCAGCGACGCCGCGUGAGCGAAGAAGGCCUUAGGGUCGUAAAGCUCUGUUGUAAGGGACGAAUGUUUAUCUGACGAACAGUCAGAUAAAGUGACGGUACCUUACCAGCAAGCCCCGGCUAACUACGUG
rnacentral:rRNA from 1 species